AGGGCAAGUCUGGUGCCAGCAGCCGCGGUAAUUCCAGCUCCAAUAGCGUACGUUAAAGUUGCUGCAGUUAAAAAGCUCGUAGUUGAACGUUCGGGUUCCGCGGGACGGGGCCGCCCCGCGAGGGACGGCGCCGCCCCGGGGCUCGUGAUAUCUCAUCUCGCCGCCCGUCGCGAGGCGGACGGAGGGAUGGAUGAGGUUACCUGGAAAAAAUCGGGGCGAUCUAGGCGGGCGAACCUCGCCAACGAACGAUCGGACAUGGGAUAACGGAAGAGGGCGUCGGCUCGACUUCGUCGGUUCCUCGGGCCGAGGCACGUACGGUGAAUAGGGACGGUCGGGGCCGCCCGUACCGGGUCGUGAGAGGUGAAAUUCUAGGAUCGACCCGAGACGAACCGCCGCGAAAGCAUUCGGCAAGGACGCUUUCAUUAAUCAAGAACGAAAGUCGGGGGAUCGAAGACGAUCAGAUACCGUCGUAGUCCCGACCGUAAACGAUGCCGACC
rnacentral:rRNA from 1 species